rnacentral:lncRNA from 1 species
UUGGUGAUAAACAGAUCAAACGUACAUCAAAAACGUUCCCUCUUGAUUGAAGCGAUAAAAUCAUUAUAUCAUACUCUACAAGAGAUAAAAUCAGUGUAUAUUGUGGCUGGUAAAAAGCAAGAUCAUCAAUCAGAAUCCCCUUAUCUCCUUUGACUACAUCAUGUCUCGUGAAUCCAUUAGGGUUUAUCCUGCAUAUUUAGAACAGAAACGAAAUGAAAACCUAUAAAAUAUGAAUUUCGAACGAACUAAAAACUUAGGAAGAAUCUUUCCUUGUGCAUCGAUUUCAGCCAGUGUCUUCAGUUUAACCUCUGUCAAUUCGAAGAUAAGAACACAAAAG